UACGUAGGGCGCAAGCGUUAUCCGGAAUUAUUGGGCGUAAAGAGCGCGCAGGCGGUCGUUCAAGUCGCGUGUGAAAGCCCCCGGCUCAACUGGGGAGGGUCACGCGAUACUGAUCGACUGGAAGGCAGGAGAGGGUAGUGGAAUUCCCGGUGUAGUGGUGAAAUGCGUAGAUAUCGGGAGGAACACCAGUGGCGAAGGCGACUACCUGGCCUGUUCUUGACGCUGAGGCGCGAAAGCUAGGGGAGCAAACGGG
rnacentral:rRNA from 1 species